rnacentral:lncRNA from 10 species
GGAUACGCUUUUAUAUAGUAGGCUUGAAAUUUAGCUCUCUUUUGAAUAUUCAAUGGUUCAUGAGAAGCGGUUUGGGAACACACUUUCUGGGGUCUGAGGUAUUUGUACCUGAAGAAACUCCAGGAAGCAGAGGGUCACGUUGAGCAUUCUGCAGACAAUUGUUUUAAGACUGCAGCUGCCUGGGAAGCUUUUACACAGUGGAGACCAUCCUCUAGCCAGAGCAUUUCAGCCACUUUCUUCAUAGAUACGAUGCUGGAGGAACCAGACAGGGAGCAAACAAGAGCUGGGUCAAUCUGUGGAUCUGCACACUUUAUAAUCGUGUUUUAUUCAAGUCUUAACUAGAGAUGCUAAGUGGGACUUAGUGAGGAUAGGCCUGCACCCUGCAGCAAGACCACCACAGUGCGGCACAGAUGCUGGGCCCAGGUCACACAGGAGGCAAUUCAAACUCAACCUGGAGAGAAUAAGAGAAGUCAGACAGGGAGCCAGGACGGCAGGAAAGGAUGCCCCAUGGCACAGCGUGUGCAGGGACAUGGGAGAGCGAAUAUGGGUUGAGCAUCCCUAACCCAAAAAUCCAAAAUCGGAAAUGCUCCCAAAUCUGAAGUUUUGGGGUUGGUUGGUUGGUUUGUUUUUGAGACAGAGUUUCAC